rnacentral:rRNA from 1 species
UACGGAGGGUGCAGGCGUUAUCCGGAUUCACUGGGUUUAAAGGGUGCGUAGGCGGGUUGGUAAGUCCGUGGUGAAAUCCCCAAGCUUAACUUGGGAACUGCCGUGGAUACUAUCAAUCUUGAAUAUCGUGGAGGUAAGCGGAAUAUGUCAUGUAGCGGUGAAAUGCUUAGAUAUGACAUAGAACACCAAUUGCGUAGGCAGCUUACUACACGAUCAUUGACGCUGAGGCACGAAAGCGUGGGGAGCAAACAGG